GGGACACGUGGUAUCCUGUCUGAAUAUGGGGGGACCAUCCUCCAAGGCUAAAUACUCCUGACUGACCGAUAGUGAACCAGUACCGUGAGGGAAAGGCGAAAAGAACCCCGGCGAGGGGAGUGAAAAAGAACCUGAAACCGUGUACGUACAAGCAGUGGGAGCCUCUUUAUGGGGUGACUGCGUACCUUUUGUAUAAUGGGUCAGCGACUUAUAUUCUGUAGCAAGGUUAACCGAAUAGGGGAGCCGAAGGGAAACCGAGUCUUAACUGGGCGUUAAGUUGCAGGGUAUAGACCCGAAACCCGGUGAUCUAGCCAUGGGCAGGUUGAAGGUUGGGUAACACUAACUGGAGGACCGAACCGACUAAUGUUGAAAAAUUAGCGGAUGACUUGUGGCUGGGGGUGAAAGGCCAAUCAAACCGGGAGAUAGCUGGUUCUCCCCGAAAGCUAUUUAGGUAGCGCCUCGUGAAUUCAUCUCCGGGGGUAGAGCACUGUUUCGGCAAGGGGGUCAUCCCGACUUACCAACCCGAUGCAAACUGCGAAUACCGGAGAAUGUUAUCACGGGAGACACACGGCGGGUGCUAACGUCCGUCGUGAAGAGGGAAACAACCCAGACCGCCAGCUAAGGUCCCAAAGUCAUGGUUAAGUGGGAAACGAUGUGGGAAGGCCCAGACAGCCAGGAUGUUGGCUUAGAAGCAGCCAUCAUUUAAAGAAAGCGUAAUAGCUCACUGGUCGAGUCGGCCUGCGCGGAAGAUGUAACGGGGCUAAACCAU
rnacentral:rRNA from 1 species